rnacentral:rRNA from 1 species
AGAGUUUGAUCCUGGCUCAGGACGAACGCUGGCGGCGUGCUUAACACAUGCAAGUCGAACGGUAAGGCCCUUCGGGGUACACGAGUGGCGAACGGGUGAGUAACACGUGGGUAAUCUGCCCUGCACAUCGGGAUAAGCCUGGGAAACUGGGUCUAAUACCGAAUAGGACCACAGGACACAUGUCCUGUGGUGGAAAGCUUUUGCGGUGUGGGAUGGGCCCGCGGCCUAUCAGCUUGUUGGUGGGGUGAUGGCCUACCAAGGCGACGACGGGUAGCCGGCCUGAGAGGGUGUCCGGCCACACUGGGACUGAGAUACGGCCCAGACUCCUACGGGAGGCAGCAGUGGGGAAUAUUGCACAAUGGGCGAAAGCCUGAUGCAGCGACGCCGCGUGGGGGAUGACGGCCUUCGGGUUGUAAACCUCUUUCACCAUCGACGAAGGUCCGGGUUUUCUCGGGCUGACGGUAGGUGGAGAAGAAGCACCGGCCAACUACGUGCCAGCAGCCGCGGUAAUACGUAGGGUGCGAGCGUUGUCCGGAAUUACUGGGCGUAAAGAGCUCGUAGGUGGUUUGUCGCGUUGUUCGUGAAAUCUCACGGCUUAACUGUGAGCGUGCGGGCGAUACGGGCAGACUUGAGUACUGCAGGGGAGACUGGAAUUCCUGAUGUAGCGGUGGAAUGCGCAGAUAUCAGGAGGAACACCGGUGGCGAAGGCGGGUCUCUGGGCAGUAACUGACGCUGAGGAGCGAAAGCGUGGGGAGCGAACAGGAUUAGAUACCCUGGUAGUCCAA